rnacentral:ncRNA from 3 species
UACAGAGGUCUCAAGCGUUGUUCGGAUUCAUUGGGCGUAAAGGGUGCGUAGGUGGCGAUGUAAGUCGGAUGUGAAAUCUCCAAGCUUAACUUGGAAACUGCAUUCGAUACUGCGUUGCUAGAGGACUGUAGAGGGCAUUGGAAUUCACGGUGUAGCAGUGAAAUGCGUAGAUAUCGUGAGGAAGACCAGUGGCGAAGGCGAAUGCCUGGGCAGUUCCUGACACUGAGGCACGAAGGCCAGGGGAGCAAACGGG